CAAUAGCGUAUAUUAAAGUUGUUGCGGUUAAAAAGCUCGUAGUUGGAGUUCUGCCAGGUGCCGCCUGUCCGCCCCAGUGGUGAGUACGUGGCGCGCAUUUGGCCCUUUCAAGGGGAGCGUAUCUGCACUUUAUUGUGUGGUGCGGGAUCCUUGACUUUUACUUUGAGGAAAUAGGAGUGUUCCAAGCAGGCUCUCGUCGUGCACAGCUCAGCAUGGAAUAAUAGCAUUGGACCUCGGUUCUAAGCUGUUGGUUGCCAGAAGCGAGGUAAUGAUGAAGAGGGAUAGUUGGGGGCAUUCGUAUUUAACUGUCAGAGGUGAAAUUCUUGGAUUCGUUAAAGACGGACUACUGCGAAAGCAUCUGCCAUGGAUGUUUUCAUUGA
rnacentral:rRNA from 1 species